AUUUGGGAGACAUACUUCUUUAUAUAUCCAUAUGAAAGUGCCAGUGCUAUGGAAUGUAAAGAAGUAUGUAUCUCCGGU
rfam:Xenopus laevis strain J chromosome 9_10S, whole genome shotgun sequence.